UACGAAGGGGGCUAGCGUUGUUCGGAUUUACUGGGCGUAAAGCGCACGUAGGCGGAUCUUUAAGUCAGAGGUGAAAUCCCAAGGCUCAACCUUGGAACUGCCUUUGAUACUGGGGAUCUUGAGUCCGGGAGAGGUGAGUGGAACUGCGAGUGUAGAGGUGAAAUUCGUAGAGAUCGGGAGGAACACCAGUGGCGAAGGCGACUAUCUGGCUGACAACUGACGCUGAGACUCGAAAGCAUGGGGAGCAAACAGG
rnacentral:rRNA from 1 species